AGUCGGCUACCUCCUCCACAACAUUUUUGGGUUGGGGGAUUAAGUGGUUUCAGUUUAAAAAGAAAAAAAAGAAGAAGAAAAAAGGUGGCACAUUGGCUGAAGAAAAACUAAAUGUGCUUAAAUCAUUGAUAGGUAACCAAGCCAAAGUCUCAAGGACCCUUAAUGUUCAGCUUCAAAGAAGUGAGUAAAAUAAGCAAGAUUAGCCUGGCCAGUACUGGAUAAGGGAGAUGUACCCAGUGGCAGAGUCAAGUUGGAAACCAUAUAUACAAGAUGGAAUGGUUGUGCACUUGACAUUUCACAGGCUCUCUUCUCCCUUUCCCCACCAUCUUCCCUAGAAGCAACUCCAUAUCAUAGAAAGGUGGUUGUGCUUCCCUAUCUCACCACACUGACCCUUUAUUUAGUGAAGAUGGAGAUGGAAAGGAAAAAGGAAAAAAAAAAUCAAUGCAUUUUCCAUACUAGCAGCUGGUGUGCAUAUCACCCGGGACUCAAGUCUAAGGGUAAGUAAGGUCUUAUUUUAUUUUUUUUUUAAAUCAGUUCACAAAGGAAACAAACAGUAGGGGGUUAGGAACAGAGAUCUGU
rnacentral:lncRNA from 1 species